GCUGCUUUUGGGGCUUUCGGCCAAGAUCAAGUGUAGCGUCUGUCUAAUCAUUUUGCUUUCUGAUGUGUUCUCUCUCCAAGAAUAAUAUAGUGUGUAUAUUUUGGGAGUAAGGAGAUAGAGUAGGAACAUGCUAUACAUUCAUUCCACGAACAGACCUGAUACUGCAGGAGUUGUGCACCCUGU